UGUGCUAAGUGGGGAGCUAGCGGUGCCCUUUACCUGCAAUCCGCUACAGCAGGGCCGAAGGCCUCACGAGGCGCAUUCUAUGGAAGGUCCGGAACGGUUAAGGAACGUUGAUUUUUUGGUCCCGUGCAACUGCGACCUGUGAACCAUGUCAGGGCAGGGAUGCAGCAGCAUUAAGCAGAUAUCGCGGUGUGCCACGGGGGUGCUGGAGAGGAGUCACCUGAUCGGAUACCGCUUCGGUGGUUUACGUCGACUGAGG
rnacentral:SRP_RNA from 1 species